GUUGUAUUUUUCUGUUCAAUUCCAUCCAUUUCUAUUCUGUUCUAUUCAGUUUCUGGUUUCAUUCUGCCGGUGGUUGAGAUCGCCUCGCUCUGCAAGACGGAGAUUCUGAAAUGUCUGCAGUACGAGGAGCUGGGCCGAAGCGUGUGAGUGAACUGCAGGCAGAGAUGAACGACUGGAUUCAGCGCGGAGAAAAACUGUUCACUCCAUUCAGGACAUCACAGCCGACUACUUCAGAGACCCGUCCAGAGCGCUCACAGGUAUGGUGAAACAGAUGGAACAGGAUCAGAAGAGAUUUGGCCACGCCUCUUGGGCAAUGGCCACGCCCAGACAAGAGAAACUCAGUCCUAUUGGAUAAAGAGACGCUGCCCUACAUGAGAGCAAAAGAGAUGUGCAUCAAACACAAGAGAGACGAGAUCCGAGAGAAGGAGUUGUGUGUUCAGGCUCACGAGCAGCAGCAGCGUUCAGUCGUGCAGAGAUCUAAGCAGCACUGCCAACA